UCCCAUGUGGUCUAGUGGUUGGGAUUCUAUGGCUCUCACCUAGGCUACCAGGUUCGAUUCCCGGCAUAGGAA